GUAAAAAGAUAGUAAUAAAAAAACCAAAGUGCAAUUUGCACCUCUGCCAAUGACAUGACCUUGCUUUUUAAUAUCAAAUGAUAAAACCUGCUACACGUUACCAUCUAUGCAAAGCCUAAAAAGUCUAUCAAUUACCAUCAUUUCCCUAGGCUACUUUAUCUCAUCUCCUUAAUUACUCAAGCCUUACCCAAAUAAUACUCUCCCAAGCUUCAAUUUAGCCAACCGUUCCCAACCCUCAAACAUAAUGAAAGAAGACAGAAACUUCACUCCACUGUCAUACUAGCAGUAGCAGCGCCGCACACUCUGUUGUUGUCCCGCGGCGUGCGACGCCUCAACCUUGCACGGCGACGGCGACACUCCCCAAACAACACUCGACAAGACCACCGCGAACCAAAUCCUACUUCUUCUUCGACCAAAGGUUGUUCUGUUCGUCUUCGAUUGAAGCCCUCUCUUUGUUCAGCUCAUCUUCGAUUAGAGGCUCGCAAGAUCAAAGCUUUUUGUCAGAUAGACACUGAGAGCAAGGACUGCUGAUCUUUUUUGUUUGGGAUGGAGAAACCGCCCCAAACCGCCCGUGUAACCCGUCACCGACGUGGCCCGAACCCGAAGAACUCGUUAUCAACUACGGUCGGUCACGGAUCUGGUUUUUAACAUCUUGGUUUUGGUCGGUUUGGCCAAAAUGGGCCCGAAAUCGACCGUAACCGCUCGCUGCUCAACCUUAGGUGCGGUGGCUGAAAUCUAUGGUGUAAUUAGCGAUGACAGAUCCAAAAUUCUUGAGUUGUGGGAGAACUAUACAUACAAAAGUUGUUCAAUGUGAGAAAAAGAUUGUUUGUGGAAAAUGGAUGCCACCAAAAUUGAUUAUUGUCACAAAAACAAAAAAGAUAAAUUAUUAGCAUUAAAAUUCACUCAAAUUUGUCAAUUUCAUCAAUGUGAUCAGGACUAAUUAACAUACAAUUUAUU